ACACAUGCAAGUCGAGGGGAAACGACAUCGAAAGCUUGCUUUUGAUGGGCGUCGACCGGCGCACGGGUGAGUAACGCGUAUCCAACCUGCCCACCACUUGGGGAUAACCUUGCGAAAGUAAGACUAAUACCCAAUGAUAUCUCUAGAAGACAUCUGAAAGAGAUUAAAGAUUUAUCGGUGAUGGAUGGGGAUGCGUCUGAUUAGCUUGUUGGCGGGGUAACGGCCCACCAAGGCGACGAUCAGUAGGGGUUCUGAGAGGAAGGUCCCCCACAUUGGAACUGAGACACGGUCCAAACUCCUACGGGAGGCAGCAGUGAGGAAUAUUGGUCAAUGGACGAGAGUCUGAACCAGCCAAGUAGCGUGCAGGAUGACGGCCCUAUGGGUUGUAAACUGCUUUUAUAAGGGAAUAAAGUGAGUCUCGUGAGACUUUUUGCAUGUACCUUAUGAAUAAGGACCGGCUAAUUCCGUGCCAGCAGCCGCGGUAAUACGGAAGGUCCGGGCGUUAUCCGGAUUUAUUGGGUUUAAAGGGAGCGUAGGCCGGAGAUUAAGCGUGUUGUGAAAUGUAGACGCUCAACGUCUGCACUGCAGCGCGAACUGGUUUCCUUGAGUACGCACAAAGUGGGCGGAAUUCGUGGUGUAGCGGUGAAAUGCUUAGAUAUCACGAAGAACUCCGAUUGCGAAGGCAGCUCACUGGAGCGCAACUGACGCUGAAGCUCGAAAGUGCGGGUAUCGAACAGGAUUAGAUACCCUGGUAGUCCGCACGGUAAACGAUGGAUGCCCGCUGUUGGUCUGAAUAGGUCAGCGGCCAAGCGAAAGCAUUAAGCAUCCCACCUGGGGAGUACGCCGGCAACGGUGAAACUCAAAGGAAUUGACGGGGGCCCGCACAAGCGGAGGAACAUGUGGUUUAAUU
rnacentral:rRNA from 1 species